CGACUCAGUUAUUAUUUUCGACUUACGACAGGUAAUAAAGAAUUUUGUGCUAGUCCUUCUGUUUACCUUUACUGUUCUUCGUGCCUAUAAGUAUCAGGACAUUACCGAUGAAUCUUCUCUUGAGCUUGGUAUGGAACCAUGCAUUGUAUUAUGUGGUGGCUCUAACAAUACUAUAAAAAUAUACCUAGAACAAGAACCUGUUACGGAAAAAUGUGACUCAUUUGGAGGAGCAUUGCGUUACUUAAUUGCUCUUUAUUUUGUCUUUAAUUUGGAAUAUCCCAAAGAAGCAUCCUGCAUUUUGGAGUUCCUUCAAAGAUAUAUUUCAAAAAUACACCCCGAAGCAGGAACCAAAUCGAAAAAACAAAAUCUUUCGAAAAGAAAAAUUAUUUCAUAUUUAACGAAGUUAGCCAAGAUAGAAUAAUAAGUUAUUAUUUUAUUAAAUAAUUGUUUAUAAAUUAUAUAUAUUAUUUCUUUUUUUGAGUCCAUAAAUAUUAAAUGAAUUUGUUCCAACCUUAAAGGGUUUUUUUUUGUGAGAUUUAGCUUGUAAGUAGGUACCUGUAUUAACAUAUUUGAUAUUAUAUGGGGCCCCAAA